rnacentral:miRNA from 1 species
AGAUGAUGAUGAUGAUGAUGAUGAUGAUGAUGACGAUGGCAAUGAUGCUCUGUUAUUAUUGGUAUUGUUAUUAUCAUUAAUAUCGUUGUCAGCA